rnacentral:rRNA from 1 species
GACGAACCGUCCAAACGUUAUUCGGAAUCACUGGGCUUAAAGGGUGCGUAGGCGGCGCGGAAAGUUGGGUGUGAAAUCCCUCGGCUCAACCGAGGAACUGCGCCCCAAAAACUACCGUGCUCGAGGAAGAUAGAGGUGAGCGGAACUUAGGGUGGAGCGGUGAAAUGCGUUGAUAUCCUAAGGAACACCGGUGGCGAAAGCGGCUCACUGGAUCUUUUCUGACGCUGAGGCACGAAAGCUAGGGUAGCGAACGGG